AGUGAACGCUGGCGGUAGGCCUAACACAUGCAAGUCGAACGGCAGCACAGUAAGAGCUUGCUCUUACGGGUGGCGAGUGGCGGACGGGUGAGGAAUACAUCGGAAUCUACUUUUUCGUGGGGGAUAACGUAGGGAAACUUACGCUAAUACCGCAUACGACCUACGGGUGAAAGCAGGGGAUCUUCGGACCUUGCGCGAUUGAAUGAGCCGAUGUCGGAUUAGCUAGUUGGCGGGGUAAAGGGCCACCAAGGCGACGAUCCGUAGCUGGUCUGAGAGGAUGAUACGCCACACUGGAAAUGAGACACGGGCCAAACCCCCACGGGAGGGAACAGUUGGGAAAUUUUGGCAAUGGGGGAAAGCCUGACCCAGCCCCACCGCGGGGGGGAAAAAGGGCUUUGGGUUGUAAAACCCUUUUUUUUGGGAAAAAAAAACGGGGGUUUAAACCCCCCCUUUUUGACGGUACCCAAAAAAAAAGCCACGGCUAACUUCGGG
rnacentral:rRNA from 1 species